rnacentral:misc_RNA from 1 species
GAUGAAGAACGCAGCGAAAUGCGAUAAGUAGUGUGAAUUGCAGAAUUCAGUGAAUCAUCGAAUCUUUGAACGCACACUGCGCCCCUUGGUAUCCCGAGGGGCAUGCCUGUUCGAGCGUCAUUUCACCACUCAAGCCUGGCUUGGUGUUGGGCGACGUCCUCUUUGGGGACGCGCCUCGAAACGCUCGGCGGCGUGGCACCGGCUUUAAGCGUAGCAGAAUCUUUCGCUUUGGAAGUCGGGGCCCCGUCUGCCGGAAGACCUGCUCGCAAGGUUGACCUCGGAUCAGGCAGGGAUACCCGCUGAACUUAAGCAUAUCAAUAAGCGGAGGA